CUUGGUGGCUAUGGCGUCAGUGACCCACCCGAUCCCAUCCCGAACUCGGCCGUGAAACCUGAUUGCGCCGAUGGUACUUCGUCUUAAGACGCGGAAGAGUAGGUCGCCGCCAGGC
rnacentral:rRNA from 1 species